CCCUCGAGAUGAGAUUUCCCAACUUCGGUUAUAAGAUCCCUCAAAGAUGAUGAGGUGAAUAGGUUCGAGGUGGAAGCGUAGUGAUACGUGGAGCUGACGAAUACUAAUCGAUCGAAGACUUAAUCAA
rnacentral:rRNA from 1 species